rnacentral:rRNA from 1 species
AAGAGUAGGGAAGUGUGUGAGCCAUGCGUCAAGAAAAGCCGCUAUUGUUUUACUUAAGCCCGUACCGUAAACCGACACAGGUGGAUGAGGAGAGAAUCCUAAGGCCGACGGGAGAAGCAUUGUUAAGGAACUCGGCAAAAUGACUCCGUAACUUCGGGAGAAGGAGUGCCAGCGAGAGCUGGCCGCAGAGAAUUGGCCCAAGCAACUGUUUAGCAAAAACACAGGUCUAUGCAAAACCGUAAGGUGAAGUAUAUGGGCUGACGCCUGCCCGGUGCUGGAAGGUUAAGAGGAGAGGUUAGCGGCAACGCGAAGCUUUGAAUUUAAGCCCCAGUAAACGGCGGCCGUAACAAUAACGGUCCUAAGGUAGCGAAAUUCCUUGUCGGGUAAGUUCCGACCCGCACGAAAGGCGUAAUGAUUUGGGCACUGUCUCAACAAUGCACCCGGUGAAAUUGAAAUACCAGUGAAGAUGCUGGUUACCUGCGCCAGGACGGAAAGACCCCAUGGAGCUUUACUCCAGCUUGAUACUGGGAUUCGGUAUUGCAUGUACAGGAUAGGUGGGAGGCUAGGAAGUGAUAACGCCAGUUGUCACGGAGCCGCUGUUGGGAUACCACCCUUGCAGUAUUGGAUUUCUAACCAGCGACCAUGAACUGGUCGGGGGACAAUGUCAGGUGGGGAGUUUGACUGGGGCGGUCGCCUCCGAAAGGGUAUCGGAGGCGCUCAAAGGUUCCCUCAGAAUGGACGGAAACCAUUCGAAGAGUGCAAAGGCAGAAGGGAGCUUGACUGCGACACCGGCGGGUGGAGCAGGUACGAAAGUAGGACUUAGUGAUCCGGUGGUAUAAAGUGGGAUUGCCAUCGCUCAACGGAUAAAAGCUACCCUUGGGAUAACAGGCUUAUCACUCCCAAGAGUUCACAUCGACGGAGUGGUUUGGCACCUCGAUGUCGGCUCAUCGCAUCCUGGGGCUGAAGUAGGUCCCAAGGGUUGGGCUGUUCGCCCAUUAAAGCGGUACGCGAGCUGGGUUCAGAACGUCGUGAGACAGUUCGGUCCCUAUCCGGCGUGGGCGUAGGAUAUUUGAGAGGAGCUGUCCUUAGUACGAGAGGACCGGGAUGGACUGGCCGCUGGUGUAUCUGCUGCAUACCAAAUGCAUGGCAGAGUAGCCAAGCCGGGACGGGAUAAACGCUGAAGGCAUCUAAGCGUGAAGCCCCCCUCAAGAUGAGAUAUCCCUACGUAAGUAGUAAGACCCCUUGAAGACGACGAGGUAGAUAGGUCAGAGGUGGAAGUACAGUAAUGUAUGGAGCUGACUGAUACUAAUCGGUCGAGGGCAUGACCG